CAACUUCUAAAAGAAUUUCAGAGAUGUUUCUGAAGAGAUGAGAUGCAGUACAUGUGCCUUCUGCAAAUUCAAUACAAAAAUUCAGAUAUGUACAACUGAUAAAUUAGAGUGAAGGUGAAACUGAAACCGAACGCCUCAGAUGGGAUUUGAAACCAGCCAAAACUCAGUUUCGGACUUGAACCCAUGGGCUGGGACUCGAACCCACCCACCAUCUUUUAAUUAAAAUCACUCGCCUGCUGUCAGGACUUAACUGAAGCUCAGGUCCUUUAUGUCUUGGCGAAGAAGGAAUUCAGCAAGAGGCAAAGUGAUUGGUAGCCUCGUCAUGCAGCAUGCCGGAUCUUAUUUCCCCCACCAGGGAUUGAACCCGUGCCCCC